rnacentral:misc_RNA from 1 species
AGUAGCUUUUUGGGAGCCUGAGUCC